GAGGCAGGUCUGAAAGGUCUGGACAACACUAAAAAAAAGUGGAAAGAAAAGCGCAGCCAAGUUCUUUGGCCGAGACAAAAGCUGAUGUUAUUUCAGGCUGUUUGGACACGAGAAAUCAGAGCAUGAAAAAUACAUUUGCUCCCAAAACGCCAGCCUCGCUCACGGAGGACGCAAGGGUCGGGCGAAAAGGGAAGAAGAAGAAGAAAAAGGAAAAAAAAAAGGUAUUGUCUUUAGAUUUGGAUAUUUUUAGGAGGACUUGUCAGCUGGGUGGCUUUGGAGCCAGAAGAAGUCAAAGUUGUGCACCUGGUAAACCACUGUGCCGCGGCACACUGAGGUAUUGUCUGGUGAGCCGUGGGAAAUCAUGCAACUUCACCUAAUUGGUCCAAAAAAUAUUUUUUUUUUUGCAAAUCAUUAAACCUCUAAAGCAAGCCUGGGCAAUUAUUUUGACUCGGGGGCCAAAUUUAGAGAAAGACAUGUGUCUAUCUAUUUUUAGGAACACUAAUACAAAACCUCACAAUAAUGUCUGAUUGAAUGCUAAAAACGUUUUUGACAGACCGCCUUAAAAAACGGAAUGGAAUUUUUCAUUUUUCUAUGAAGGAUAAAACACUGAAUAUUGACAACAUAUGAACGUCACACCCCCUCUCCAUAUUUUACAAUCAAGAAAACGUGCGACAAACAGCGAAAUAUGAACGCAAAAGAUAAAAAUUGUUACGGCGCACGCGCAGUCUGAUUCUCCCUCCUCUGCGGGAACACUUGGAGGCUCCGUCUGUGCGCACCUCGGGACACGCCCACGGGUGCGCACAUCCAGGAACGCGCCGCGCGCGUCCCCGCCCUGCAGCAGCCACCAGCUGCAAUCACUCACCGGCAAUCUACACUCCUGGGUCUGAUGAGAGCAGGCUCAAUAAAGGACCAGUGGACCCAAGGAUCGGCGCGGGAACUUAGUUUUCUCAUGGUGUACCUGUUUUCCUUCCGUUGCCCUGGAUUUUGACUGCCUCCUUCGUUUCCUUGACUCCUCGCUUGCCCCUGGACUUUGACGCCUCUCUCUCGCCCCGGAUCACCUGCCUGCCCCAUGGACUGCCUCGUUUGCUCUCUUCAACACUUGGUAACACACUUCAGCUAACUACACACAUAGUCUUACACCACACACUCUUGUAUUCUAGUUCACACUUCAUUUCCUUAGUUCAGUAGUAUUGUUUAUUAUUAUUUAUAUAUAUAUAUAUAUUGACUAUAUAUAUAAUAAAUAAUUGUAUAUACUG